rnacentral:rRNA from 1 species
AGCGAACGCUGGCGGCAGGCCUAACACAUGCAAGUCGAACGAACCCUUCGGGGUUAGUGGCGGACGGGUGAGUAACACGUGGGAACGUGCCUUUAGGUUCGGAAUAACUCAGGGAAACUUGUGCUAAUACCGAAUGUGCCCUUCGGGGGAAAGAUUUAUCGCCUUUAGAGCGGCCCGCGUCUGAUUAGCUAGUUGGUGAGGUAAUGGCUCACCAAGGCUACGAUCAGUAGCUGGUCUGAGAGGAUGACCGGCCACAUUGGGACUGAGACACGGCCCAAACUCCUACGGGAGGCAGCAGUGGGGAAUCUUGCGCAAUGGGCGAAAGCCUGACGCAGCCAUGCCGCGUGGAUGAUGAAGGUCUUAGGAUUGUAAAAUCCUUUCACCGGUGAAGAUAAUGACUGUAGCCGGAGAAGAAGCCCGGCUAACUUCGUGCCAGCCGCCGCCGUAAUAC